rnacentral:rRNA from 1 species
UACGUAGGGGGCAAGCGUUGUCCGGAAUCAUUGGGCGUAAAGCGCGUGUAGGCGGCCCGGUAAGUCCGCUGUGAAAGUCGGGGGCUCAACCCUCGGAUGCCGGUGGAGUACUGUCGGGCUAGAGUGCGGGAGAGGCGAGUGGAAUUCCUGGUGUAGCGGUGAAAUGCGUAGAUAUCAGGAGGAACACCUGUGGCGAAAGCGGCUCACUGGACCAUAACUGACGCUGAUGCACGAAAGCUAGGGGAGCAAACAGG